UACGGAGGAGGCAAGCGUUAUCCGGAAUUAUUGGGCGUAAAGCGUCCGCAGGUGGCGAUUCAAGUCUGCGGUCAAAGACUGGGGCUUAACCCUGGAAAGGCCGUGGAAACUGAAUAGCUAGAGUGCAGUAGGGGUAGAGGGAAUUCCCGGUGUAGCGGUGAAAUGCGUAGAGCUCGGGAAGAACAUCGGUGGCGAAAGCGGGUCUCUGGGCCGAUACUGACGCUGAGGAGCGAAAGCGUGGGGAGCGAACAGG
rnacentral:rRNA from 1 species